CGUGCUAAGGUAGCAUAAUCAUUUGUUUCUUAAUUGGUAGCUGGAAUGAAAGGUCAAACUAAUUUAAUUAGUUUGUAUAUCUAAUAGAAAAUUUAAGUGAAGGUAAGAAUUCCUUUAUUUUCUAGGGGACGAUAAGACCCUGGAAGCUUAAUAAGUUGAAAGUUUGUGAUGAAAAUAGAAGAUUAGUUUAACUGGGGCGGUAGUAUUAUAUAAACUAAUAUUAAAUUGAGUGAUCCUAUUAAAUAUAGAUAAAGCGGAAGAGUUACUCCAGGGUUAACAGUACAAUGGAUUUGGAGAGAUCAUAUCGAUAAAUAAGCUUGUAACCUCGAUGUUGAAUUAAUAAAUCUGCGCGAAGCAGCAGAUGCGUAAGAGGGUUUGUUCAACCUUUAAAAUUUUACAUGAUCUGAG
rnacentral:rRNA from 1 species